rnacentral:rRNA from 1 species
UACAGAGGGUGCAAGCGUUAAUCGGAAUUACUGGGCGUAAAGCGUGCGCAGACGGUUGCGUAAGUCAGAUGUGAAAGCCCCGGGCUCAACCUGGGAAUUGCAUUUGAGACUGCGUAGCUAGGGUGCGGAAGAGGGAAGCGGAAUUUCCGGUGUAGCGGUGAAAUGCGUAGAUAUCGGAAGGAACACCAGUGGCGAAGGCGGCUCACUGGCCCGGUACUGACGCUGAGGUGCGAAAGCGUGGGGAGCAAACAGG